rnacentral:lncRNA from 1 species
ACGGAGCUUGUGAUGCUCGGUGCCAGCUGUCGUCGCGGCCACACCUUUGCAAGAGGGCAUGCGGGACUUGUUGCGCCCGCUGCGACUGCGUGCCGCCGGGAACUUCCGGCAACUACGAUGCCUGCCCUUGCUAUGCCAACAUGACUACUCAUGGAGGCAGGCACAAAUGCCCCUAGAAGGGUUUCAUUUUCAACUUGCGAAAAAUGUCUCCAUUUUGUCGAUGUAUUGCCGAGUUUGUGGAGUCUUGCCUGAUGUAUCUCAAUAAUUGAGACUUCUGUCGUGUCCAAUCAAUAAAUAAACUUUCGGAGUAAUGAUUAUUAAUAUUGAUGGAUCAUGGGACUUGGCCAGUAAUCUUGUUAUUUUGGUCUUCCUCACUUGAGUACCAUGUUCGGCGGUUUUUAUUUUUUUUAAAUAGUAAAAUCUUACAUGUCAACAAAACCUUAUAAAGUAGGUUGGUCUAGGGUGUGCUUAAGCAUUGGAUCCAAUCAUGAAGUUAAGCACCAAAUCGCUCUAGCAUGGUGUCGAAUCGAGUCAUUAUUAUCUAAACUCUCUACUAAAUCAAAUUCUCAUGUUUUACAAUAUACAGGCAUCACAAUGCAAAAUUUUUUUUUCGUUGCAAUUGAUUAUGUCUGCUUUUUUAUAAGGUAGAAGGGUGGAAAGGGAUGACCCGUGUUAGCAACCUUUUUUGAGCAUUCAUUGAGAAAUGUUCGAUUUGAAUUAUAACCACCCCAUAUUAUCUUGCAGACGCUCAUCAAGAUAUUGGUAGUUUGGAAGUCUUUCUUUGUUAUCAUGAAGUAUAUUGCUGUUAAACAACACAGCACAAACUAUUCAGAUGAUUAGUCGCAAUGUAAAUUUAACUUGUGAUCUUGUGCUCUUAUGAUUGAUUUAUGUCUGUCGCUACAUAAUAAUUCUAACUUCUAACUCAUAUUUUGUCCUACAAACUCUAUGAGAGCUAAACGAAGUGCUACGACUACUUGAGCACGAUCCACGUAGCGAAGAAUCUAGGGGUCGUCAAUCGACACCGUCCGAUGGGGCAACCAAGGCAUCUGGUUAUAAUGGCCUAACUCAAGCUAAGCAUGCCCACACCAGAUCUGGACCUCCAAAAUCCAGCGUAGCGUGGUGUGAAACUGGAUGGGGUGCGAGCUAGACAAGUUGCGCAGCAAAGACAAAAGGCGAAGCAGAAAAAAGCAAGGUCCGACGGUGUUGUUCACUGAGGAUGCUCGUGCGUGAGGAUAGAGGAGAAAAUAUUAGGUAGAGCUCUGAGCUCAGCAUGUUAAAAUCUCAGUCCAUUCAUCAGGCAACAUGUGUCGCUCGGGCCCACCGUGUUUAGACCUGUUUUCCCCUUCACCGUCUCGUCUCUCUCUUACCUCUCUUCCUUCUCUUAUUUUCUCCCUUUUUGUCUUCUUCUUCCCUUUCACUCCGAUGGGGAUGACAACAGACAUUUGUCCCCUUCCAUGACCACCACCUCACCGCUGUCUUAGUCCACCACCUUGCUGCCGUUUUAGUCCUCCGCCGUUGAGCUCAAGUUCAGCUGGCGAACUUGGGCCUCAUAUUUCGGAUCAAAGGUCGAGCAUGCCCUAGAUUUGUAUCUGGAGCUGAACUCGAUCUCAAAUCUGAGUAGGUUGACUAAAGUCGGCUUAGGCAAGAACGAGGCCCGUUGAUGCAGCGUAGGGUCUCAACCUUCUGGCCAACGUGGUAUGAGUUGGACAGGAGGUGGAAGUGCUGGAGAUCAGAGGAGGAGGGAGCGAAAGAUGGAGGCAGAGAUGGAGGCGUGGGAGAAGGAGCAUUCAUCAAGAAAAUUUUCAAUAUUUGGACUACUCAACGCAAAUAAAUUGUUCGAUAAAAAAAGAAGAAGAAGUUCGUUUUGGAUGAAGUUGUUUUGGUUUGAUUAGUUUAUCCAGCCAGGGAUGCAAGAUUCUCCUACUUCCAAGGUGAUGAUGGCUGGGGUAGUAAAGGAUUAUUUUGAGUCAAAUACAAGAAACUUGUCGCAUUCACAUUGAAUCUCGAUCUAUUCUGUGAAGAUGAACAAGAUUACAGAUGAAUGCAAAAGAAGAAGACGAUUCCUUAAUUCUCUUAUGUAUAAUGGUGUAUUCACCUCAGCUGUGCAUGCCGAGUGUACCAGCUGGCAGAUGAUGAUGCUCUCUGCUCUCCUCUGCCGCAGGUUCGAUCUGAGACUCAGAGCCCCGAUGCUUUUUCCUUUGCCCAAUAUCGAUCGAAAGAACAAAACCCAUGCACCUUUUACGUGCCAAACCAAAUCUCAACUUCGAACAUGAUGUCGCCAUUUUAUCAGCUGAGGACUUAAAAAACACAGUAGAGAAAGCCAAACAGCCCACGCAUGCAUGGAGCUGCGCUGAUGAGGGUUGACCACCUUACGCGCUUCUUCGAAAGUCCAGUCCGCCGCAAAUAAUUCACUCGGGCUACUUGCUACCAACCCUAGAUGCCCAUCUUAAUGAGGGGUCAGCGAGACGAACUUUGCUUGCUUAGGAUAAGCCUAUAUAUAGCCCGCCCUCUGCCCUCCCUCUUCAUUGUAUCAAUCAUCCGACCAAAGUCAUUAGGACUGCAUCAUUGGUAUUCAAUUCUAACUCCGAAAAAGUCUCGACCAUGGCCAUCCACAAGCUUUUAAUUGCUUCCCUCUUAAUCUCAGUUCUUCUUCUUCAACUCGCCGAAGCUGACCAGAUGGUACCAACUCGUUUUGCUUUCGAUUAUUCGUAUAUUCUGCUCAUUUGAUUUUCUUCUUCUUUAUCACACUACCUCAUGUCCAUUCUAUUUAACCAAAACGACCCUUUUGUGUCCUUGACUGAUGCAGGGAGUUGGAAAUGCAGGAGACAACUCGAAGCUUCCGAAAAUGGGUACAAAACUAUUUAUAGGGAGUCAUUUCUCUUUUUCGCUAGUAAAUUUUUCAAAAAUAAUGGUAUAAUGACAUGAGGUCUUCAUCUUCGUUGUGCAGACUGCGGCGGAGCGUGUGUCGCCAGGUGUCAGCUGUCAUCGAGGCCUCGCCUUUGCCAGAGGGCUUGCGGGACAUGCUGUGCCCGUUGCAACUGCGUCCCUCCGGGCACCUCCGGCAACCUCGACGUCUGUCCGUGCUAUGCCAACAUGACCACCCGUGACAACAAGCACAAGUGCCCAUGAGAUGCUCGAUGGGCUUCGUUUUCUUUCCAAUGGUCGGACAUCGAUCGCUCAAGCUUGUUGCUGCUAAUUUAAGGGACGCUGUUGUCGUACUAAUAUCAUGGAGCUAGUCAAGAAGUGGUUUGCAAAUGCAAAUUCACAAUGUGUUUAGCAAUUUAUCUGUCGUAUCUAUCAUUAAUAAAGUUUCCGUUUAUCUUUCUUUCUACUGCACUUGUUAUUUUUUCAUCGGUCCAAUGUGAGUCCCAUCUAAAUUAAUGGUUCAUAUUCAUUUUUAAUAUAUUCUAGAUUCAAUAAAUAAAUUAUCCUAAUCGAUAAUUGAUGGUUCGAUCUGUAAAAAUUAAAGUUUGAGGCAUGGAUUUUACUUGAAUUGAUCAAGUUUGACCUGUCCUGCAGGCAAUUGCUGAAAUAUGAAAACAAUUUUUCCACUUGGUCUAUUGCAAAUGCUUCCCAAAACUCAAGUGGCCAGGUGAGGAACUAAACCCAGUCACAUAUAAUGUCUUAACCAUGUAUGUAAGCCCGAAUUCACUAAAAGACAGAAAUAGUUAAGGUUGUUUGAUUUGACAAGUUUUAAUCAUUAAGGAUCAUAUCAUUUGUAUAAAUUAAUGGUUUAUUGAGGCAUGCAUCAAAAGAAGCACUUACUGGAUAAAGUAUCCACCAUUGUCAUUUAUGUCAUGUAUCACGUAUUAUAAACAUUCUUAUUUGCUUCCCAAAUGAUACAAUUUUGCUUACAGUAAUUAAUUUGAACAGGUAAAAAUUGUCCUACGCCGAGAAGUUUAAAAUGAUAUUCCUGCCAUGGUAAUAGAUUAUAGAUGGAUUAUGAGCUUGGAAACUUGGGGGACAAAGGAAACAACAUUAGCAAGGAAGCAUUAGUUAACAUCCGGUCCAAUCCUCCUCCUCAAGCAGUCCAAACUACCCAUCCCUUUGCUCAAAUGAUUCUGUGAUAUUGCACCUAUCUCACCACUGACUUCAUUUUACAGAUUGGACCUUAAUUAUGAACAACGUAAGAAAAGGGGAUGCCAGUUACCAACCCACGAUUCGAUGAAUAGUGAGCAUCAGGAUUGAUUCUUCUGUCUCUUCGAGUACAAAUAUGUCUAUCUUCUGCUUAAAUGUUAAGCAUAAGGAAUCUCCAUACGCAGCAUCCACCUACUCAUUACUUUUCACUUUCCACUUUCCACGUAUUGGGUAAAAUUUACGAAGUAACCUAACUCUCUCCCUCUUUUCUUCUGUGUUAAAUCUAUAAAUAGAACUCGUUUCUCGAAUUCCAACCACGCCACAUUCCACUCGAAGCUAAUGGCGUUGUCGAGGCUCUGUACAACGUUGCUGCUCUUCUCUCUUCUUUUGAUCCACCAAGCUGAAUCUGAUUAUAUGGUAAAACAUACUGUAAAUCAUCUUCUUCUUUUUUUGGCUUUGAUUGCUACUUUUCAACCAUCUUUGAAGAUCUGUUCUCAUUGAAUGUACUCUUUUCGAGCUUCUGUUAAUGCCCUAAUCGAAUUCUCUUUGUGUUAGGUGAUUCAGUUGAACACAGCUGAGGAACCAGCUCCUCUGCCUCCGAAUAUAGGUAUGAACGCAAUCACAUUUUAAAUCGGCCUUGAAACUAGAAUUCCGUAGUACCUGUUCAUUUUAAGCUUAGUUUCUCACGCACAUUUCAAGAUUGCGAUGGAGCUUGCGAUGCUCGGUGCCGGCUGUCGUCGCGGCCACACCUGUGCAAGAGGGCAUGCGGGACUUGCUGCACUCGCUGCGACUGCGUGCCGCCUGGAACUUCCGGCAACUACGACGCCUGCCCUUGCUAUGCCAACAUGACUACCCAUGGAGGCAGGCACAAAUGCCCCUAGAAGGGUUUCAUUUUCUACUUAGCUUCACUUGCGAAAAAUGUUCGUAUUUUGUUAACACAUUGCCGCGUUUGUGGAACUUGCCUAAUGUAUCUUAGUAAUAAGGACUUAUGUAACGUCCAAUCCAUAAAUAAACUUUCAGAGUAAUGAUUAUUAACAUUGAUGGAUUAUGGGUCUGCCUCUGUAAUUUUAUAAUUUUAGCCUUUC